rnacentral:lncRNA from 1 species
UAUUAUUUUAAGUAUACCAAACGGUUUGAUGGUUCGAAAAUCGAACUGCAUUCAGUUCAAUUUUUUUACUAAAUAAUGCGGUCCUAAAUUUGAACCAUCAGACCAUAAGGUGAUCAUGUCAAGCUCUUUCCACAUCUUUGGUUGUCUCAAAUAUUUCAUCUGUCAAGAACAUUUGUCUUAUUGUUUUGCGAGAUACCUCUCAAAAUAAAUUGUUAGGACAUGUUUCCUUCUUUGUAAUACUUUCCCAUAGACAUGCGGGGUUAAAUUGUUUGGACAUGUGUUUUUUUCUUUUGAAUGUUUCUCCCAUAGAGCUGCAGGGUUAAAGGUCAAUUUCUGACUCGAACUUGCAUUGGAAUAUUUGAGACAACCAAGCGGUUUGAUGGUUCAAAUAUUGGACCGCAUUGUUUAGUAAAAAAAAAAUGAAUAGUAUGCGGUCCGAUGUUCGAACCAUC